GGUACGGCGAGUGACCAGGGAAAAGCCCAGCACCGAAGACUGUGGGCAGUUGUCCACUAGUCAAUGUGGUGUUCAGGUUGUUCCGGCGGUGUCGCUGCUCCACCCUAAGUCCAUGAAUGAGUAUGGUAAAUGGACAUGGCCCGCAGAGGGUGAAAGGCCCGUGGGGGUGGAGAUCAGGCAGGCCAGUGACGCCCUGGAUAAACCUUGGAGUCGGGUUGUUUGUGAUUGCAGCCCAAAGUGGGUGGUAAACUCCAUCCAAGGCUAAAUACUAGCACGAGUCCGAUAGCAAACAAGUACCGUGAGGGAAAGUUGAAAAGUACUUUGAAGAGAGAGUAAACAGUGCGUGAAACCGGCCAGAGGUAAACGGGUGGAGUUGAACUGCAAGCUCUGGGAAUUCAGCUGGUGAAUAUGGUUUGAGCUUGGUCAAGUCAGUCGGACUCGGUAGCUUGUGAGGCACUUAGCAAGUGCUAUAGGCUGCCGGUGUUCUUCGGGCUGAUUCGCCAGUGCACUUUCUCAGAGUGGUCACCACGACCGGCAUUGCUGUCUGUCUGAUGGGGUUAAACCGGUUUUGCAUUGUCCCUGUGGCUUUGUGAAAUCGGGAUGGCAGGUAGCUCGUGGACUUGCUUUUGGUUCACUGUGA
rnacentral:rRNA from 1 species